ACCACGUCACCAGUGGCGGUAUUACCGGCUUAUCUCCUAAACGAAGAACUGCUUGCCUUUGAAAGUGAACUGAUAUUUUUAAGCACUAUGGAGGAGAAUGUCAAAAGCCUCAGCAAAAUUCUGCCUGCAGUGGCGACAGUGUCAUUCUUAGCGGACCCAUUGUACACAGAGGUGGAUGCGUACCUGAGGCCAAGGCUCGCGAAAAUGGCCCUAAUUUCAAAGGUUUCACCCGUAGACAUUAUUGGCCCGUGCAUUGUGUGG
rnacentral:lncRNA from 1 species